AUGCAGGCUGAAGAAGAUGAGCAACCUGACGGACAAGACCACCAAGAGGAUGUGCAGCAGCCUGCGUCAGAGCCGCAGGAAAAGGCGGAGCUCGAGGACACGGACGGGAGGGAGAGCCCCCUGAUGUCAACGUCCAUCGCGCGACGCGUGCACAUGCGGACCUCGUCGGAGAACCUGGCCGAUGGCGCCGAGGAGGGGUCGCCCUCCAAGGGGAAGGACUACAAGAGGACGCUGGCGUGCAAGCUGUACGGGGAGCGGAUCCAGCUCAAGGUCUGCCGCGACCGCGCCAUGGCCGGGCGUGCGCCGACGACCUGGAAGCAUAGAACGAUAUGA
rnacentral:rRNA from 1 species